AGAGUUUGAUCAAGGCUCAGGGUUAACGCUGGCGGCGUGCCUAACACAUGCAAGUCGAACGGUUCUAAGCGCGAGCUUGGGAUAGUGGCGAACGGGUGAGUAAAAGGUAGGAAUCUACCCCUUGGACGGAGAUAGCUACUGGAAACGGUAGGUAAACUUCGAUAAGCCCGAGAGGGGAAAGUGGUGAGACAGCCGAGGGAUGAGCCUACUCUCCAUCAGGUAGUUGGUGAGAUAAAAGCUUACCAAGCCGAUGACGGAUAACCGGUGUGAGAGCAUGAACGGUCACAAGGGCACUGAGAGACGGGCCCUACUCCUACGGGAGGCAGCAGUGGGGAAUCUUGGACAAUGGGCGAAAGCCUGAUCCAGCGACGCCGCGUGGAGGAAGAAGUCCUUCGGGAUGUAAACUUCUGAACUAGCCGAAUAAAAGGCCUGUGGACACACAGGAGAAGAAAGUAGGCUAGGAAAAGUCCCGGCUAACUACGUGCCAGCAGCCGCGGUAAGACGUAGGGGGCAAGCGUUACCCGGAAUUACUGGGCGUAAAGGGGGCGUAGGCGGUAAAAGAAGUCAUCUGUGAAAACCUAUUGCUCAACGAUAGGCUAGCGGAUGAAACUGAAUUACUUGAGGGCACCAGAGGUAGACGGAAUUACCCGAGUAGGGGUGAAAUCCGCAGAUACGGGUAGGAACGCCGGUGGAGAAGUCGGUCUACUGGGGUGCACCAGACGCUGAGGCCCGAAAGCUAGGGGAGCAAACCGGAUUAGAUACCCGGGUAGUCCUAGCCGUAAACGAUGCUCACUAGGUGUAGGGAGUGAUAAACUCUCUGUGCUGAAGCGAACGCGCUAAGUGAGCCGCCUGGGGAGUACGUCCGCAAGGAUGAAACUCAAAGGAAUUGACGGGGGUCCGCACAAGCGGUGGAGCAUGUGGUUUAAUUCGAUGGUAACCGAAGAACCUUACCAGGGAUUGACAUGUAACUGAAGGUAGAGAAAUCUACUGGCCUGCCGCAAAGCGGGAGGUUACACAGGUGGUGCACGGCCGUCGUCAGCUCGUGCCGUGAGGUGUUGGGUUAAGUCCCGCAACGAGCGCAACCC
rnacentral:rRNA from 1 species